AGUUUAUAGAAGCGCAACUUAUGGGGUC
rnacentral:piRNA from 1 species